GAAGAAGAAGCUGCGGAAGCGACGCGGAUGUUUUGGAAAGUAGAGGUAGUGGUAGUGUCACCAGAGUAGAGUGACGAUCUGGGAAUAACAACACCUGUUCUGUUCAUCCGGAUUAGUUUAGUUCACUUUUUAAAAUAAAGUAUACCGGUUUAGCUUCAGAAAAAUGUCUAAGAAGUCUAAGAAGAAAAAGCGCAGAAGGCGGUCACAAUGCUCCAGUGAAGAAGAGCAGGUGACCAACAAGCGAGAUGAAGCGAACACAAGCACAACGUCCGAUGGGAAGCAACGUGUAAAAUGUCAGGAGAGCUCUGCGGCAAAAUGUGGAAAUUCAGGUUCUUCUGCCGUUAAAGGUGACGCACAAUGCAGCCGACAGAUCAAGAAGCCUGUCUACAGAUUAGGAGAAACUCAAGCAGCAGACCGGAAAUCUGUUAUUAAGGAUGGCGACAGUGCAGAAAGAAAAAGUGUGCAAGUCCACAGGGGAAGGUCAUCCAGUAAAGCAAAUGUUUCAGGCAAAGGUAAUACUGUCAGUGGGAGUAAGACUGUGGAAAAGAAACCCUCAGACCCCCUGAGCAUCACAAGUGCAAUUCUUCAGCGUAAAGACAGGACCUCUAAAGUCAGCGUUGAUGAAAAGUCUUCCCAGAGGAGCCCAUCCAAAUUAAAGGCGCCGCUAAUGACACCCCGUUUGGUUUCUGCUGAACAGAAAGACCAGAGACACAACAUACUGAAGAAGCGUCAAGCCGAGGAGCCUCUGAGAGUCGAAUGUGACAGCAGCUCUGUCAAGACCAAGAAACCAAGAAACACCACCUCCGCUUCAGAUUCAUCAGGGCUGAAAUGGGUGCCUUUAAAAGAAAUAUGCCAAAAGAAUCCAGAAAAGGACUGCAAGGCCAAAACACGCAUGCAUUCACAUACACAACUGCCCUCUGCCUCUUCCACAGAGCGGUCAUCCACACACAGUACCUCAGAAAGUACCUCCAAGGUGCCGAGGAAUGUCUUAUCAGGGUCGAGUAGGACAGCACAGUCAUCCUCUCCACAACAGAUACACUCUUUCACACAACCUUUGCGUUUCAAUUUUAAGAUACCGAUAAAACGUCUGCCAAGGCCAGCAGACAGCGCAGAUGGCAAGAAGGACGUUCCUUCAAACAACACUGUGUCAGAUGUCAAAAAGGAGACUAAACGUCCAGACUCCGAGGUCUCCGUGAAAAACAUCACACAGGAAUCUGUCCGUGAACCUCACAAAUGUUUGACUGUCACUGCCAGUUUUCCACCUAAAGUACAAGAUAAGAGGUUGCCUUUGCCAAGUCAGCAUUCAACUAUGAGCAAUACAGAUACUGCGCCAGGGGAUGAUGAGAUGCAAGUGGUUGAAGAGCUUCACCUUGCCCGCUCGCAGAAGAUACUGGGGGUAGAAGUAACGCAGAGCUAUGGAGAGCUGACUUGCAUGGACAUAGACGUCCCAGAGGAGAACACUAUAGAGGCGCCCUGCAAACAAGCCCUUCAGCAAGUUCUCAUUCUCGUUCUGGACACAAACAUUCUCCUCAGUCACCUUGAUUAUGUAAAAAAGAUCAGAUCUCAUGGCCUCAGAGACCUGGGCUUUCCUGUCAUCCUGAUCCCCUGGGUGGUGCUUCAGGAGCUGGAUUCACUAAAAAAUAGAAAGCAUCUGUCACAUUCGGUUGAACACCUUGCCACCCCCGCCAUCUCCUUCAUUUAUAACUGUUUGAAGAGCCGGGAGCCUUACCUCUGGGGGCAGUCUAUGCAGCAGGCCACGGAGAGCAGAUAUGGUCUGAAUGCCGAGAAUAAUGAUGACAGGGUGCUGCAGUGCUGCCUUCAGUAUCAGAGUCUGUAUCCAGGAUGUGCUCUCAUCCUAUGCACUAAUGAUAAGAACCUAUGCAGUAAAGCCCUGCUGAGUGGGGUCAAGGCACUCAGCCAGAAGGAUUUGAAGGAAGAGCUUGGGACGUCCAGAGAUGGCCAUCACUUGCUACAGAAACUUCAGAUACCCACGCUGCCUCACACAAACCAGCAGGUCUCACCCUCCGUGCCCAGCAGUAGUCAUGAAGCAGUUCAGCAAUACAGUCAAAGCAGAACAAGACUGUCUCUAGGAUUCACAGACAAAGUCAUAGAUGGCCAGCAGCUCAGUGAAGACAAAUGGGACCUGAGCAGAUGUGUUUCUGAACUUGAAGACUGCUUGAAGGAGGUGUUGUCUGAUGUGUUGGAGGUGGAGAUGAAGGCAGUGUAUGAAGAUCUGUGGUUAGAGAUAGUCUAUGUCAAACCACCCUGGACUCUUAAAGAUGUCCUGCAGUGUUUUAAUAAGCACUGGAUAGCUGUGUUUGGCUUCAUUGUCCCACGAUCAAAGCAACAGACUAUUUUAAAUCUCAUUAACUUCUUCACCUCAGGUCAGAAAGUAAACCUAAGCGCCACCUUAGAGGUUCUCCAAGGAGCAAUGGACCUGGUGAAAGCAUUCAGGAGGAGUUCAAGUCGCGCUGCCCAUGCCGUCUCCCAAAUGGACAACAUCCUUAAUAAGCUACUUCAGAGGGACUCGCCUGCUGUAGACGUUGUCAUGACUGAUGAAGAAGACAAACAGCCCGCGUCUGCUCGCGUCUCUCAUCAGGAAGUGUGGGUCCUGUUCGAAAACAUCUGGUCUAAUGUGUAUCAAGUAAGCUUGGAAGUGUUCAAAGCGCUGGGCUUUGACCCUCACACCAUGCAGAGCGCUCACCCAGCGCCGGGUCCCCCGCCGCCGCAGGAGGCGCUGGCCUGUUUACACAGACUGUCCUCCAUGGUCUCACAGCUGCUCCAGGCGUUCAGCAGAAGAACUAAUUAUCACUACAAAGGGACACUUUCUAUCAGUAUGUUAUAUGUUCAUCAUUUUCUCUGUCUUCACUAAACCCUCUAACUAAACCUCAUCUCCCAGUGUGUUAUUCACACUGUGGAUGACUGACUUGGGCCAUUUGGGCGUCGUCAAGCAGCUCCUUCCUGUUGGGGUUUAUACUCGAUUAAAGUCUUGAUGCGUGUUUUUGACUUGCAGUAUUUCCUUUGUGGUUUUACUUCUCUUUACUGUACUUUCUGUCUCUGAAUCUGUGAUAAAUUGACUUGUACAGUCUGUACAACCAUGCACAAGUGUUAAUCUGUGUAAGAUCAUGAUGUUUUCGACUGCAAGGCUAAUGUGUUUUUCGACAGUUUCAUUGUUUGGUCUGGUUUAUAGGCACUAAGCUCAGAACACAAACAGGCCUCUCAGACUGUAAGCCACUAAACUCUUCAGUGUGUCCCAAGGACACUUUAUUACAGCUAAGGCUCUGCAGGCCUCUGCAGCACAUGUUUGUUGGUCUGGAUCACAGGCUGUAUGGCCAUGCUUAAUAACCAGAUGUUCUAUAUUCUAUGUUUGGCACAUUUGUAGCUGGAGAAAUGCUCUCGGUGAUGUUGUGAACCAUUCUGAGGAGGAGCACUGCCCUCAAAAUGUCACAAAGUUGAUUUUGAUGAUAUUUCAGUUUUUGCAUUAGAACAUUUUGGGGAACAGAAGCUUUUGUUCUGACACUGGUUUCCCAAACACAACUAUGACGUAACUAGGUGAUAGUGCAGCUGUUUCUUCUGCACAGAAACCACAUGAUAAGUUGUUCAACAGCUGCAAUGCCGCCUUCCUUCAAAAGCAGCUUUUUUUUAAUGUAGUCAGUCAUGUAGUUUUAUAUGAGCAGCUUGUGUCUCAAUCCACAGCUUCGUUUGGUUCAGUGCUACUCAGCAUGAUUUGACUUUGCAUUGCUUAUUGAGUCACACGGUUUAAAUCUUCUAAUUGUGUUGAAUUGUUUUGCAGUAGCUGAAUGUUUUAGAAUAAAUCUUUUUAAUACGACCUUUGUCUCUGCCUGCGAGAGUCUUGGUCCGAUGCUUCGUGGUUAAUGUGUGCACAAUUCUGCAUUCAGCGGCACGCAUGCAUGUGUGUUGGCUGCUCAAGUACUGUUGCCUAGGAGACAGCACUCCUCAUUUUCACGUGUUGGAGCAGAGCUAUGACUCAUACAGGCGAUCUGUCUCCAUGUCCCUAAACUAGAGCUCUGCUCAAAGCUAUUCCUCACGCUUCGCUCCUUUUCCUGUGCUUAUUCCUGCUCUUAUUGUGUUGUCUUGUCGUCGCCAUCUGGUUUGGAGGAAGUUCAGACACUGCUCAGCGUCAUUCACUCUAAUGAGAUCGUUCCUGUGGAUCAAAGAUUGACGGCCAGAGACCUACUUGACUGUUUCUCACAUCAAGAGUACAGGUACG